UGUCAUUGGAUGCAAGUGGUGUCGGUCCUCGAGAGUAACCCGCCCUCUCUUUAACCCUUGGCCUCCUGGAGCUGGGCGCUCCAGUUCCGCUGGAGACGGCUCGGCAGGGCCCUGGGUUGCCUCUGGGUCCCCUUCCGCCUGGAGCCUCGCUGCUUUUCCUCCCCUGGCUGCCCGGCGCACCCUUGGGUACUUCACAGCCUUGAGCCCUCGGGGCGUCUGCACCCCUCUGUGCCGGGCUUAGCGUUGGGCCUGAGCGUGUGCGGUGAGCUUGCGGACCGCCCCUGCCCUUCCCCCAACCAUCUGGACUCUUCUGGUCGGGCCACUGUCCCUUGGCCAGGUACACAAUGCUUCGUGCUCCCUGGGGCUGGCCCAAGUCUUCCCAAAGCCCUACCUACACCCUAGAUCUACCUGGCUGCAGGUCCCAGGUCCCCCGCUCACAACUUGGAUGGACGAGGACCAGGACCUGGCCAGGAACUAGUCUCAUCAGCUGCCAACUCUGCAUCAGUGAGGCCAGCCAGGGAGAAUGUGGGACCACAGCUGCCCAGUGUCCCAUGGCUGCCCAGGUGGUUCCCUGAGUAUCCAUCUGGGGCUGUCUGCUGUCCUAAGCCAGGCUGGGGCUCAGCCCUCAUGGAAGUGGUAGUGUGUGAGAGUAACGGGGACCUCUCCCCAGGCUUGGGACGUUGCCUGCUGGGUGUUCCCUACCAGAAAGCACACUUGGGUGUGAAUUUGGGGGAGGGAUAGGGGAGCCCCCACCCACAGGAGGACAGAGCAGAGACUGGCCAUGGAGGGCAGCUUGGGGCUGGGGAGAGGCCAGCUAGGGAGAGGGUCAGGGCCUGCCACCCAGGAGGGGUACUCUGAAAGUCCCCCAGUGUCUCUGGGAGCCCUGGAGCCUCAGGAGUGGCCAAAGUCCCCUGGUAGGUGACAGCCCUACUCUUCCAGGCUUCCUGCUUUUGGAGAGGUGGGAUUUCUGUUCACUGGCUGCCCCCAUAGUGCCCACUCCCUGCCCUGACAACAUCCACCUCAUUUUCCUGCACUCUCAUCCCGGGGGGAUGGCCCUCCCCUGGUCCCUGGGCCCCAGGGAGCUACCUGCGGCUGUCCUGGUCUGAGGAGGCCUUCCCUGUGGAGGGCUCCUCCCGGGACUCCCAGCGGCCGACCCACCAGGGCAGCAGGCCAGUCCAAGCACUGCCCAGAGCCUCAGAAAAUGAGGGAACUCGGGGUGGAGGACGAGCCCUCGCCUGCAGGAGGAGAUGGCUUUGGAAGCAGAACCCGCCCCAAACCCAAUUCCAGGCUGGGGAGGAGGGAAAGGGAGGGGGGAGGAGGAGGAGCUGAGCCUGAUGAGGCUUCAGGAAAGAAUGCCCCGCUCAGGAGCCCCCCCAGAGCCCCACUGGGAACUCAUCUCUCUGCCUGGUGACAUUGCAUUGGCCGGAGCUCAGUGGCCUGAGUCCAGCUGUUAAUCUCCUGCACAGCCUGUGGCUCCGUGAGGCUGCCCCAUAGAGGGAGCCCUGGGUUGUCCACUUUCCUGAUGCCUUUGGUGCUCCCCCAGUGGGCAUGUUGAGGCUGGACCGGAGGGGCCAUCUCCACCCUGUUGUUUCCACUGACUGAGGGACUGACACAGGGAAACCAGGAAGCAGCAGGGGAGGGCUCCAUGGGGGGUGUGUGUGUGUGUGUGUGUGUGUGUGUGUGCAGAAUUGGCAGAGGGACAAUGGCUGCACCGAAUGCACCCCAUUCUUUCUUCCCUCCCCGGAACUUGCCUGGGGCCCCCAUGGGCUUGUGGAACCAGGAAUUCCCUUUCUCCAGCCCUAAUAGCAAUCAGAUGGUGCAAGUGGAAAAUCACAGCGCUUGCCUGGGCUGAGCAGGGAAGUUGGCGGCGGCGGCGCCUGGUGCCUGGAGCGUGUGCUGCUCGCUGCUCCGCGGAGGAUGAGUCAGCCUGCCCAUCGAGGGGUCCUGGAAAGAGUUAGUGGCCAGCCCCAAAGGGAAGCAGGGUGCAGGACCCAGGGCGGUGGCCUUGAGCCUGGGGUGGGGAGCUACCCACAACUUUCUCAUGACCCAGGAGCUGGAGGGAAUUCCACACUUUCCCUGUGGGAGCAAAUGGUGCCCAGACUCGGGGAGGAGAUACCUCUGCGAGCAUCUUGCAGAGUGCAGAAAUAGCCCUUCCCUGCACCUGCCCGGCAGCCUCCUGCCUCUGCCUGUGGAGGAACCUGCUGUCCCUGUCCAGCAAUGGUCCAAGAGCAGGAGGGAGCCCUGGACUGAUGCCUGUGCAGACCAGUUGGGGGCUUCUGAAGGGAGGGGACUCUGGGAUGCUGGAGGCUCACGGGCCACUCCCGGCCGUGAGAGGCUGGCCUGGAGGCAGGCAGGGUGUCGACCCACUGGCCGCCUCCCUGGGGGCAGGCAGCUGGGGCCCAGCUGGGCUGCUUGUUUACUCUGCGAACUGGGGGAGGCUGAAUCUAGGCGAGUUCCAAGUGUAAUUGGAUUUGGACACUUAAAAGGAAUUGUGUGAAGUGGGCAGCGGCUCUGGAGUCCACCACCUUAUUUGGUAUGGAAAUUUGUUUCUCUCAAAACAAGAGAGAGGUGCUUGUAGGAGGAACGUAGUCGUCCUUUGACUGAGCUGGUAGAGUCCUCUGGCCACUGUUCCGGUCCAUUUGGGCAGCUGUACCAGAAAACCACCUGCCCAGGGUUAUAAACCACAGGAACUUAUACCUCACUGCACAGAAGGCUGAGAGCCCAGAACAAGGAACUUGAUCAGAUUUGGUGCCAGGGUAGCCCAGCCUGGCUGGAGGAGGGCAACACAGAAGGAAGAAGGCAGCUGGAUUCACCCUUCACCAUGAGGAGAAGCAGACCAAAUACACAGUUUCUUGUCUCCUGGAGAAUCUUCACUCUUUAAGGGCGGAGACAAGCAGAAGGGGAGGGGGCACUGAGCCACGUGGCCCUUAGAACUAGGCCAUCUGUGCCCAGUUAUACUGUCCCAACAAGGAGGCCGUCCAUCCCCACAUGGCCCUGAUGGCUUCUUUCUCAUGGCUGCAUUUUUACACCUAUUUCAUUUGAUUCUGGCUGCCUCCCAAUUUGGCAUCAACUCACUGAGAGUGGUGACCCUGCCUGUCUUGUUCAUCAGCGUGGAGCCAGUGCCUGGUGCUCUGCCAGCUGCAGUGAAGCCCAGGUUCAGGCCCAGGGAGGUGGUCCGUGUCCACCAAAUCAUCCAGGGAGGCAGUGGGCAACCACCAACCCAAGACGACACAGCUCUGCUCAGAACCAGCCUGCCACUCAAAACUGCUGAGUCAAUUUAGUUGGGUGUUACUCAAGUUGACACAGUCAAUCAACUAUCACAGUCCACCCCUUGCCAACUUGACACAUUUCUUUAAACUAUAGUCUCCAGAUACGAAGACAAGUUCAUAAUUAUGCCUAACGUGUUAUAACUAUCCUGCAUAUAAACAGAAGCGCACUGAUUCCCUCCCUUGAGUAGAAGGCAAGUUUUCUUUGGGUGAUGUUUACUCAUAACAUUUCAUAACUUGAACAUUAUAGAACAAGUUUAACAAUACUUAAGAAUCACUAUUAAGUCUAUCAACAUUAUACUACAUUGAACCAUAUUAGGAGCAACUAUUACAAUUACAAUCCUCACCGAACCAUGUGGUUCAGGAGCCUUUGGAACUGGCAUGUGGGAAGAGAUUGGAAAGGUUCACAGAUGCUGGCUGAAAAGGCAUCCAUGAAAUACCUGAGGCUGUACCGUAUGGGAGAUUCUGGUCAGAGCUCAGAAGACCAGAAAGCUGGUGACGAUAAGGUUCAGGUUUCUGCUGGGAAGAAGGACUGCAUUGGACUGCAUUGGGAUUCCAGACAAUGCGUAUUGUGCCUUGGCGGAAAGUUUGUCUGCGUUUUGCUCAUGUCCAGAGACUUUGCUUGACUGAGAGUAAGGGUGGUGGACUAAUUACAUGCAGGAAAAAUUUCAAGACGGUCUAACGUUGGGGCAGUGACAUGCCUACUGUUUGGGGCUCUUAGCUGGAUUGAUGUUGAGAAUCAAGUGCAAAGAGCCCAGCAGAAUGAUUUAAAACACUGUGAGAAUGGCCAGAAAGGAAGCACCAAUAAAACUGUGAACUGCAAAGAUAGAGCAGAGAACUCAAUUGCUGAGAAGGAAGAGGGCAGUGGAAAAGAUGGCCUGGCUGGGCGUGGUGGCAAACACCUGUAAUCCAGCACUCAGUAGACUGAAGCAGGAGGAUUGCUGUAUGAGAUCAGUCUGGACUACAUAGUAAGACCGUGUCUCAACCCCAACCUCCCCAAAACACAGAUGACCUGAGGAUCUCACAAAAACGAGCAGGAUUCCACCCUUUGAAGCCUCAAAAUUGCAUGUUCCAGAAUGGCAACCGCCUAGGGAAGUUGUUUCUUGGGAUUCAGUUCGUGGGCACUUGAUCCUUACAGCCUGGCUGCAGCUGGCAGCAGACCUUGGCUUCAUCUACGUGGUGCUGGUUUUAGGAGCAUGCAGAAUGCAAGAG